CGGGAUCACAGCGAGUAACAGAAAGGGAGUGUGACAUGUGCGCACAAAUGAAAGAAAAUAUUUUAACAUGCUUAGAAGUACUUCUUUCAAUUUAAAACCUUCUAAGUCAUGUCAAGUAUGAUUGGAUAAACUGUCUUUAUUAAAAUAUAAAAUGUUUCAGAAAAUGCAUGCCCACUAAGUACAUUAGUACUUAGCCCAAAAAUACUUUCAAAUGUUUUCAGGUUGGCUGGCUGGUGCUGACGGGACGGAGCUGAGGCUAGCGAUAAAUUCCUAUGUUAGACUUCCGUUGUAGCAAUUACUCAUAUCAGUCUUUUGUUUUCCCAACUUAAGUUCUUCAUGUUAAAUUUCAAAUGAUAUACCUGACCGAGCUUAGACUCUUCACUACUAAAUUUA
rnacentral:lncRNA from 1 species